rnacentral:rRNA from 1 species
GACGAACGCUGGCGGCGUGCUUAACACAUGCAAGUCGAGCGGUAAGGCCCUUUCGGGGGUACACGAGCGGCGAACGGGUGAGUAACACGUGGGUGACCUGCCUUUAGCUCUGGGAUAAGCCUGGGAAACUGGGUCUAAUACCGGAUAUGACCCUAUGGCGCAUGUUGUGGGGUGGAAAGCCUUGUGCGGCUAGGGAUGGGCCCGCGGCCUAUCAGCUUGUUGGUGGGGUGAUGGCCUACCAAGGCGACGACGGGUAGCCGGCCUGAGAGGGCGACCGGCCACACUGGGACUGAGACACGGCCCAGACUCCUACGGGAGGCAGCAGUGGGGAAUCUUGCGCAAUGGCGAAAGCCUGACGCAGCGACGCCGCGUGAGGGAUGACGGCCUCGG